CCUACGGGUGGCAGCAGUGAGGAAUAUUGGUCAAUGGGCGCAAGCCUGAACCAGCCAAGUAGCGUGAAGGAUGACUGCCCUACGGGUUGUAAACUUCUUUUAUAAAGGAAUAAAGUGAGGCACGUGUGCCUUUUUGUAUGUACUUUAUGAAUAAGGAUCGGCUAACUCCGUGCCAGCAGCCGCGGUAAUACGGAGGAUCCGAGCGUUAUCCGGAUUUAUUGGGUUUAAAGGGUGCGUAGAUGGCGUGUUAAGUCAGUGGUGAAAGUUUGCGGCUCAACCAUAAAAUUGCAGUUGAUACUGGGAGUCUUGAGUACAGUUGAGGCAGGCGGAAUGCGUGGUGUAGCGGUGAAAUGCUUAGAUAUCACGAAGAACCCCGAUUGCGAAGGCAGCCUACUAAGCCGCCACUGACAUUGAUGCUCGAAAGUGUGGGUAUCAAACAGGAUUAGAUACCCGAGUAGUC
rnacentral:rRNA from 1 species